GAAAUAUUCACGAGCGGGACGUUUGUUCUCAAGUUUGUAACAGAAAUAUUGUUAAAAUGUGUGUUUCUGCAGGCUUGGCUAUGGAAUCAUUGGUAUUGAUUAAUAGAUGUUAAUUCUUCACACAAGGUUCAUUUACUAAAGUUGCUUACCAAGAACAGAACGGUAAAUUGAGAAUCUGGCAAAACAAAUUGAAUGGAACGAUUUAAUAAAUCGAAAGAUACAAAUUACAUCGGAUUCUCAUUCUAGUUUUUGUGAGCUUAUUUCGACUUUCCGUACAAUUCAAUUUGUUUGUUUCAUCGGGGGAAACAAGAA